UACGUAGGGUCCGAGCGUUGUCCGGAAUUACUGGGCGUAAAGAGCUCGUAGGUGGUUUGUCGCGUUGUUCGUGAAAACUCACAGCUCAACUGUGGGCGUGCGGGCGAUACGGGCAGACUAGAGUACUGCAGGGGAGACUGGAAUUCCUGGUGUAGCGGUGGAAUGCGCAGAUAUCAGGAGGAACACCGGUGACGAAGGCGGGUCUCUGGGCAGUAACUGACGCUGAGGCGCGAAGGCUAGGGGAGCGAACGGG
rnacentral:rRNA from 1 species